ACCGACAAGAGAAUUCAACGAUGACAACUGCAUCUCACUAGAGGCGUGCUGUUCUCAUAUAUCGAUUCUUCUUCCAAGAGUCGUCAGAUAUGUCUUUCUCUCUUUCUCCAGUUUUCUUCACCUGAAGAUGUGGUUCUCGAAGUGUGGUCCCUGAUCAGCAUCGUCACUGUCACCUGGAAACUUGUGAGGAGUAAACAUUCCCGAGGGAGCCCAAUCCCUAACCUAUUGUAUCAGAAAGUCCUCCAGGGGUGGAGCCCAGUAAGCUGUUUUAACAGGCCCUACAGUCUUUCCACUCUCUUUAUUCUAAGAUAGAUACCAUUCUUCAUGGUGAUUUACAGUGGUGUGGAGUUGACAGAUCCUCUGUUGUGAUUUUAUAUGGAACUAUUUUCCUUCUGGAUAUAGAAACGUUCCUCAGGUGGACAGAAAUCAGUUUCAAAAUGUUUCAGAUCACAAAAUAAACUGCAUGAGCUAAAGAAGAAAUUGACAAACUCAUUGUUUUUUUGGAGAAUUCAAAAGACCUUUCUAAUUAAUAAUACAAUUGAUCAGGUAUGAAGAGAAAAUUUCACCUCCCUUCACUGGACUGGACAAGUUGAAGUGAGAAGAUCAAGAGAGUCAAGUAAAACCUUUGGAAAGAAAUGAACAUGGACCAGAUCUGCCUCUACAAUAGCAGUGUACUCAAGCAGAAAGACAUCCGUUUUUACUGCUCCAAAUGGCCUUCCCCCAUCCAAAACCUUGUUCUAGAUUAGAAUUUCUCUACCCUCUACUGCCUCCCUCCCUAUUUGGCAUUUUCCGUACACUAUGGUAUAAAGGUGGGAUAGUGAACAUGGAUGUUUGCAGAGUGCAGCAACAUGGUAAAUAUGCUCGUCAUUUAGGUGGCUGCAAAUUGCUCCAGCUGUCAGGUAGUUCCUGAUAUCCACAGAGCAAAAGUCAGGGUACUAGCUGGUGAUUUUGCUACCUAAACCCUGGGAGCCGCCGAUGUUUUUCAUACCUAAAGCUGCGGCUGCCUUUUUUUCGCUUCUUUGAAAACUGCAUGUGGUGCUCACAUUAACCAUAUUUCACUUGAAAUAAGUUUUAUUAGGAAGAGAGAAAAUGCAUUUGAUAUAUUUUUUAAAGUGCUAUACAGCACCCACACACACCGUCCACAGUCUAUCACCAGUGGCACUCCUAGAAACAGGCAUUUAUUUUUGCAUUCUUACUGUCCUUUGUACGUACAAUGGAUAUGAUAAAUCCCACGUCUCUCUUUUAUUUUGUCUCAGUGUUCUCUUUUCUUUCAAAUUAAUUCUUGGUCUGUCCUUGCUAAACAUUAUGCUGCUAUUACUUAUAAGCUUUUUCCUCAAACAGCAUUUACUGAUUGAGGCAUUCAUUUAAUUUACUUAUUCCUGCAUUGGGCUAAAGAUUCAAAGAUGAAUACAAUUGUUUUAAGCGAUGAGAAUGAGAUUCCAAAUAUUGUUUUCAGUGAGCAAGCACACACACACA